rnacentral:rRNA from 1 species
UAGGGAAUCUUCCGCAAUGGGCGAAAGCCUGACGGAGCAACGCCGCGUGAGUGAAGAAGAAUUUCGGUUCGUAAAGCUCUGUUGUUAGGGAAGAAUGAUUGCGUAGUAACUAUACACAGUAGAGACGGUACCUAACCAGAAAGCCACGGCUAACUACGUGCCAGCAGCCGCGGUAAUACGUAGGUCCCGAGCGUUGUCCGGAUUUAUUGGGCGUAAAGCGAGCGCAGGCGGUUAGAUAAGUCUGAAGUUAAAGGCUGUGGCUUAACCAUAGUACGCUUUGGAAACUGUUUAACUUGAGUGCAGAAGGGGAGAGUGGAAUUCCAUGUGUAGCGGUGAAAUGCGUAGAUAUAUGGAGGAACACCGGUGGCGAAAGCGGCUCUCUGGUCUGUAACUGACGCUGAGGCUCGAAAGCGUGGGGAGCGAACAGGAUUAGAUACCCUGGUAGUCCACGCCGUAAACGAUGAGUGCUAGGUGUUAGGCCCUUUCCGGGGCUUAGUGCCGCAGCUAACGCAUUAAGCACUCCGCCUGGGGAGUACGACCGCAAGGUUG